rnacentral:rRNA from 1 species
AGAUUGAACGCUGGCGGAAUGCUUUACACAUGCAAGUCGAACGGCAGCACGGGGCAACCUGGUGGCGAGUGGCGAACGGGUGAGUAAUACAUCGGAACGUGCCCAAUCGUGGGGGAUAACGUAGCGAAAGUUACGCUAAUACCGCAUACAAUCUACGGAUGAAAGCGGGGGAUCGCAAGACCUCGCGCGAGUGGAGCGGCCGAUGUCAGAUUAGGUAGUUGGUGGGGUAAAGGCUCACCAAGCCAACGAUCUGUAGCUGGUCUGAGAGGACGGCCAGCCACACUGGAACUGAGACACGGUCCAGACUCCUACGGGAGGCAGCAGUGGGGAAUUUUGGACAAUGGGCGCAAGCCUGAUCCAGCCAUUCCGCGUGCAGGAUGAAGGCCUUCGGGUUGUAAACUGCUUUUGUACGGAACGAAACGGUCUGCCCUAAUACGGCGGGCUAAUGACGGUACCGUAAGAAUAAGCACCGGCUAACUACGUG